rnacentral:rRNA from 1 species
AUUGAACGCUGGCGGCAGGCCUAACACAUGCAAGUCGAACGCGUGGCGGACGGGUGAGUAAUGUCUGGGAAACUGCCUGAUGGAGGGGGAUAACUACUGGAAACGGUAGCUAAUACCGCAUACCAUCAGAUGUGCCCCGCUGGGAUUAGCUUGUUGGUGGGGUAACGGCUCACCAAGGCGACGAUCCCUAGCUGGUCUGAGAGGAUGACCAGACAAAAUGGAACUGAGACACGGGCCAGACUCCUACGGGAGGCAGCAGUGGGGAAGAGUGCAAAAUGGGCGCAAGCCUGAUGCAGCCAGGCCGCGUGUAUGAAGAAGGUCUUCGGGUGGUAAAGUACGUCCAGCGGGGAGGGGUUACGCGAAGAAGAAGCACCGGAUAACUCCGUGCCAGCAGCCGCGGUAAUUC